UACGUAGGGUGCGAGCGUUGUCCGGAAUUAUUGGGCGUAAAGAGCUCGUAGGCGGUCUGUCGCGUCGGUCGUGAAAACCUGCAGCUUAACUGUGGGCGUGCGGUCGAUACGGGCAUGACUGGAGUUCGGCAGGGGAGACUGGAAUUCCUGGUGUAGCGGUGAAAUGCGCAGAUAUCAGGAGGAACACCGAUGGCGAAGGCAGGUCUCUGGGCCAUAACUGACGCUGAGAAGCGAAAGCAUGGGGAGCGAACAGG
rnacentral:rRNA from 1 species